GGAAUAUUGGACAAUGGGGGCAACCCUGAUCCAGCCAUGCCGCGUGUGUGAAGAAGGCCUUAGGGUUGUAACGCACUUUCAGUGGGGAGAAAGGUGGUUUGGUUACUAGCUGAAUCAAUUGAUGUUACCCAAAGCAGAAGCACCGGCUAACUACGUGCCAGCAGCCGCGGUAAUACGGCGGGUGCAAGCGUUAAUCGGAAUUACUGGGCGUAAAGCGCACGUAGGCGGUUUGUUAAGCCAGCUGUGAAAUCCCCGGGCUCAACCUGGGAAUUGCAGUUGGAACUGGCAAGCUAGAGUAUGGUAGAGGGGUGUGGAAUUUCAGGUGUAGCGGUGAAAUGCGUAGAUAUCUGAAGGAACAUCAGUGGCGAAGGCGACACCCUGGAUCAAUACUGACGCUGAGGUGCGAAAGCGUGGGGAGCAAAC
rnacentral:rRNA from 1 species